CACAAUUGAAUGCCAGAUUAACUUACCAUCUGUAAAAAUGAAAACU
rnacentral:misc_RNA from 1 species